UACAGAGGGGGCAAGCGUUGUUCGGAAUUACUGGGCGUAAAGCGCGUGUAGGCGCCUUGCAAGUCGGAUGUGAAAGCCCUGGGCUCAACCCAGGAAGUGCACUCGAAACUGCAAGGCUUGAGUUCCGGAGAGGAAAGCGGAAUUCUCGGUGUAGAGGUGAAAUUCGUAGAUAUCGAGAGGAACACCGGUGGCGAAGGCGGCUUUCUGGACGGCGACUGACGCUGAGACGCGAAAGCGUGGGGAGCAAACAGG
rnacentral:rRNA from 1 species